rnacentral:rRNA from 1 species
UAACUUUUAACAAUGGAUCUCUUGGCUCUCACAUCGAUGAAGAACACAGUGAAAUGUGAUAAGUAAUGUGAAUUGCAGAAUUCAGUGAAUCAUCAAAUCUUUGAACGCACCUUGCACCUUUUGGAUAUUCCGAAAGUACACCUGUUUGAGUGUCAUGA